rnacentral:rRNA from 1 species
UACAGAGGUCUCAAGCGUUGUUCGGAUUCAUUGGGCGUUAAAGGGGUGCGAGUAGGCGGCGCGGUAAGUCGGGUGUGAAAGUCUUGGAGCUUAACUCCGAAACUGCAUUCGAUACUGCCGUGCUUGAGGACUGGAGAGGAGACUGGAAUUACGGUGUAGCUGGUGAAAUGCGUAGAUAAUCAGGGAGGAACACCGGUGGUG